rnacentral:rRNA from 1 species
AGUGAACGCUGGCGGUAGGCCUAACACAUGCAAGUCGAACGGCAGCACAGUAAGAGCUUGCUCUUACGGGUGGCGAGUGGCGGACGGGUGAGGAAUACAUCGGAAUCUACUUUUUCGUGGGGGAUAACGUAGGGAAACUUACGCUAAUACCGCAUACGACCUACGGGUGAAAGCAGUGGAUCUUCGGACCUUGCGCGAUUGAAUGAGCCGAUGUCGGAUUAGCUAGUUGGCGGGGUAAAGGCCCACCAAGGCGACGAUCCGUAGCUGGUCUGAGAGGAUGAUCAGCCACACUGGAACUGAGACACGGUCCAGACUCCUACGGGAGGCAGCAGUGGGGAAUAUUGGACAAUGGGCGCAAGCCUGAUCCAGCAAUACCGCGUGGGUGAAGAAGGCCUUCGGGCUGUAAAGCCCUUUUGUUGGGAAAGAAAAGCAGCAGGUUAAUACCCCGCUGUUCUGACGGUACCCAAAGAAUAAGCACCGGCUAACUUCGUG